UACAGAGGUGGCAAGCGUUGUUCGGAAUUACUGGGCGUAAAGGGCGAGUAGGUGGCCAUCUAAGUCAGACGUGAAAUCCCCCGGCUUAACCUGGGAACUGCGUCUGAUACUGGACGGCUUGAGUAUGGGAGAGGAAUGUAGAAUUCCAGGUGUAGCGGUGAAAUGCGUAGAUAUCAGGAGGAACACCGGUGGUGUAGACGGCUUACUGGACCAUGACUGACGCUGAGGCACGAAAGCGUGGGUAGCAAACAGG
rnacentral:rRNA from 1 species